rnacentral:rRNA from 1 species
UACGAGGGGGGCGAGCGUUGUUCGGAAUUAUUGGGCGUAAAGGGCGCGUAGGCGGUUCCGCAAGUCCUGUGUGAAAUCUUCGGGCUCAACUCGAAGUCUGCACGGGAAACUGCGGGGCUUGAGUGUGGGAGAGGUGAGUGGAAUUCCCGGUGUGGCGGUGAAAUGCGUAGAUAUCGGGAGGAACACCGGUGGCGAAAGCGGCUCACUGGACCAUAACUGACGCUGAGGCACGAAAGCUGGGGGAGCAAACAGG